AUGGAUAUUCUUCACGAAGCAUGAAAAGAAGGGAAGGUGUUUUUUCGCCGAAGGCUCAAAAACGGUAUGUACGUAAAGUUUCAUGCAUCGUAAAGAAUUACAAACAAUUUAUAUAUUACAUUCAAAACUAUAAAAUAUUACACACUUUGUUCAGCAAAUAUUACAUCAAUAUUCCAAAUGUUUUUACAACAAUAGUUAUUCUUCUUUUAAAACUGCUUCCGCAGCUUCGUUUAGUAGUUGAGUCACAGCUUCGUCCAUAAUAGCUUCGGCCAUCUUAGUAACUUCAUCUUCCUUUUUUGCUUCGGGGUCGGCCAAUGACUCGAAGGGCUCCGGGGGAGGAGACAGUUCAGCUGUGAUACAAAACAUAAAUAAGUUCGAAGUCACAAAAAUAAAAAGCAUAAAUGUCGGGGACCAUAAUUAGGGGUACCCUCAAGACGCCUAAUUCUCAGCUGGUAACCCCCAUCAGCAUAAAGUUGCAGAGGCCUGAUGGGUGCGAUUAAGUCAGGGAUCAGUCCAUACGAGUGACUCGAUCACGCUUCGCCCGAGCCUAGCCUCGGACAAGGGCAGCCGACCUCGAGGGACUUCCGUCUCGCCCGAGGCCCCCCUUUUUAACGGCGGACACAUCUCCGGCUUGCCCGAGGCCUUGGCUUCGCUAAGAAGCAACCCUGACUAAAUCGCCGCACCGACUGACCGAGUUGCAGGAGCAUUUAACGCAAAGGUGGCCUGACACCUUUAUCCUGACGCGCGCCCCCCGGCAGAGCCGAGGUGACCGCCGUCACUUCACUGCUCCACUGACCAGUCUGACAGAAGGACAGCGCCGCCUGCGCCACUCCGACUGCAGUGCCACUCGACAGAGUGAGUCUGACAGGCAGUCAGGUCUUGCCAAAGGCGCCAUAGGAAACUCUGCUCCGCCCGACCCCAGGGCUCGGACUCGGGCUAAGACCCGGAAGACGGCGAACUCCGCUCCGCCCGACCCCAGGGCUCGGACUCGAGCUAAGACCCGGAAGACGGCGAACUCCGCUCCGCCCGACCCCAGGGCUCGGACUCGGGCUAAGACCCAGAAGACGGCGAACUCCGCUCCGCCCGACCCCAGGGCUCAGACUCGGGCUAAGACCCGGAAGACGGCGAACUCCGCUCCGCCCGACCCCAGGGCUCGGACUCGGGCUAAGACCCGGAAGACGGCGAACUCCGCUCCGCCCGACCCCAGGGCUCGGACUCGGGCUAAGACCCGGAAGACGGCGAACUCCGCUCCGCCCGACCCCAGGGCUCGGACUCGGGCUAAGACCCGGAAGACGGCGAACUCCGCUCCGCCCGACCCCAGGGCUCGGACUCGGGCUAAGACCCGGAAGACGGCGAACUCCGCUCCGCCCGACCCCAGGGCUCGGACUCGGGCUAAGACCCGGAAGACGGCGAACUCCGCUCCGCUCGACCCCAGGGCUCGGACUCGGGCUAAGACCCGGAAGACGACGAACUCCGCUCCGCCCGACCCCAGGGCUCGGACUCGGGCUAAGACCCGGAAGACGGCGAACUCCGCUCCGCCCGACCCCAGGGCUCGGACUCGGGCUAAGACCCGGAAGACGACGAACUCUGCUUCGCCCGACCCCAGGGCUCGGACUCCGCCCUGGCCACUGCCGAACGACCUCCGCCUCGCCCGACCCAGGGGCUCGGGCUCGGCCUCGGCAACGGAAGACAGAUUCGACCCCAGCUUCGGAGGAGCCCCCACGUCGCCCGGCCUCGGGCGCGGGCCCACCACGUCAACAGGGAGCGCCAUCGUCACCCUACCCCGAGCCGACUCGGGCCGCAGAGAACAAGACCGAUGUCCCAUCUGGCCAGCUCCGCCAGAUAGGCAAUGAUGGCGCCCCGCGUGCCCUGUGACGACUGCGGCUCUCAGCCUCCUUACGGAAGCAGGGGGACGUCAGCAAAGACUCGACCGCUCCGACAGCUGUCCCUCCGCCAAGCUCCGUUGCUCCUCCGACAGCCACGACAUCACACCAGCAGGGUGCCAAGAUCUCUCCGGCUGCCACAUUGGCAUGUACUUAGGGCGCUAGCUCUCCCUCCGCUAGACACGUAGCACUCUGCUACACCCCCCAUUGUACACCUGGAUCCUCUCCUUACGACUAUAAAAGGAAGGACCAGGGCCUUCUUAGAGAGGGUUGGCCGCGCGGGACUGAGGACGGGACAGGCGCUCUCUUGGGGCCGCUCGCUUCCCUCACCCGCGUGGACGCUUGUAACCCCCCUACUGCAAGCGCACCCGACCUGGGCGCGGGACGAACACGAAGGCCGCGGGAUCUCCACCUCUCUCACGCCCGUCUCCGGCCACCUCGCCUUUCCCCCCUUCGCGCUCGCCCACGCGCUCGACCCAUCUGGGCUGGGGCACGCGGCACACUCACUCGUCGGCUUAGGGACCCCCCGGUCUCGAAACGCCGACAAUAAAGUUAAAAACAAUUAGGCAAUACCUAUCCGUCUCUCGAGUUCUGCAGCUUUCUCAGCUGCCUUCGCUGCUUCUCUCGUAUCAUGAGUAUCUUUUUCGCUCUUUUUUAUUAUCUCAUGGGCCAUCCCUCGGCCGCCAUUUUCCCAAACGUCAGUAAAGAAUUUUCCGCCAACUAAGCUUGCUUCGGUCGAGGGAUCCUUCGUGUCAUCAAUAGAGAAAGCAGCUUCAGCUUGGGCCAGAAUGUUCACAUGUUCGCAUCCUGCUUUCUCCAAAAUGGAUGCGACUCCUCUUGCACCAGAAAAGGCGCAUACGUCCCCACGACCACUCAAAACUUCCUCAAAAGCUUUGGCUUCGCCGCUGAUCCAUUCAAUUGGACCUUCGGGAUCGCCCAGUACGAAGUUGUCUUCAUUUGAGUAUGCGCCAAUAUUGGCGAAGCUAGUUUUUAUCUUUUCUACACAUGCUACAGAUUUUCCAUAGCAUCUUUCUUUUGAAGAGCGAAGCUCUACAACUAUUUUUUCCCAGUAAUUUUUCCAGUAGUCACUGGCGUCUCGGUCAGCUUCGGCAAUAGCACACUUUAAUUUUGCCUCUGCCAGCUAUUUCUGAAGAUCCUCAAUUUCGCUUCUCUGGGCUUCAGCCUGGGCUUUGGAAGUAGCUUCGUCUUCUUUUAUUUUGUUCAACAUUGAGUUUAAAAUCUUAUCUUUUUCAAGACCUUCGUUCCUUAGUUCAAUUACUUCGGAAUGAAGGUUGUUCAAAGCUAUAGUACAUCCUUCAUCUUCGGCACUUUUUUGUGCCCUGAGGGCGUUGCUAAGAAUGAGGCUCUGCGAAAGAAGUGUGGAAUUAAGUAUAAGCAAAUAAAACAAAUCUUGGUUUUUUAAUAUAAAAAAAAUUCAUUCUCAUACCUUUAGGCUAUUAUAUGCUAAGCUGUCCGCCAGUUCAUCUUUCGAUAGCACCGAAAGCCCAUCUUCUAGCGUCGGGAAUCCGAAGCUUUUGCCCAUCUCCCGGCAGACAGAAAUUUCCUUGCUGUCUGGGAGACAAUACAAGAAAUCUUUUUCCCCGCUGUCAUUGAAUAUUAAUGCCCCCUUUGGAUAUUUUAAUUUCUAGGCAUAAUAUUCAGCUUAUCGUUUUUUCUCUUCAGAUAACCUUUUUCCCGAAGCAUGUCGUACAAUAUAAUCGAGAGCUUCGGAAGAUGCUUCGGGAAUAGGAAUGGCAGUUUUUUCAGACAAAAUUUGUUCUGCAGCUUCUUUUUCCGUUUCUUCUUCUCCGAUUUCCAAUGAUUUCUCCUUGGCGGGCUCUGAAGGCGCAGCUUCGGUCUCGGCCUGGCUCCUGACAGCCUCGGCUUUGGAUAGUUUUGCCUUAAUCUGUGUUUUUGAAGCUUCGACAGUCUUCUUCGGAGUAGAGCUUGAAGUUUUUAUCGUUUCUAGCAUAUCUAGUACGUUGACCAUCCUUUUCCUCUUAGGAGUCGUUGUAUGCUCCUUUUGCGCCUUCGGCACUGUCACCUCUGCCGAAGGGCUUAUGACUUCUAAUAUCUUUGUUCUUUCGACUUCUGCUUCUUCAAUAUUAAUGGCCUUUGGCUCACCUGAUUUGGCUGGUGAUGCCUUCGGCAUCGCAACCGGAUCUUCAGCUUUCUGCGUAGCUGCGGGUUCUUUGGCUUCAGUAGCCGAAGAGGUUUCACCGCCAAAUUCAGGCACUAUGGCCGGUUCAAUAAAGCGCGAUCAGUGAGUAAGGGCUUUCACCUUUUUCCUCUUCGGCGCGGGCUCGCUUCCAGCAGCUGAAGCAUCACCUUUCCCGGAGGUUGCACUUUUUCUUUUUCGCUCCCGCGACGGGUAGCGGUAGUCAGGGUACAUGAACCCAAUAGCAUCAAAAACUCUGUUCAGUCUCUUCUUUUUCCGGCUUCCGAAGGCCGCAGAUAGCUCAUUAUCUUCCGCUUUGGAGUACGACCCAAGUAGUUCAUCACUUGUAGCUUUGACACACUUUAGCCAAUCGUCGUCUGGCUCAAUAAAUUGGUCUCCAAACCUGAAGGUAUAUUUUAGUCGAACCAAACCACCUUCGUGGGGGUUGCUGAUGGCCUCUUUCGGCAUCUCCCAGUUGGCUACCAAUGGCUAUAUCCUGUAGGCCACGUGCUCUUAGACUAAGUCCCUCGUCCCGAUGAAGGAACAAACUAUGCCAAAGGCCUUUCGGCAUUCUUCGGCUGCUUCAUCAAUUUCUACCUUCGUCUUCUGAAGCCCAAAGCGCUGCCAGAUAGGGCGCAUGAUUAUCUCUUUAAUGUCUUCUCGUGCCUUUAAAUCAUUUUUCACAUAGAACCAUUCUUUCAUCCAGUCUCCGGGCCAUCUCUUCCAAAAGGUUGGCACGGGGCAGCUUGACCCAGAGCGGGCAACGAAACUAUAGCAGCCAAAAUUGUUGUGAUACUGUUCCUUACCCCAGGGCUUCGUCUCGUAUAACAGUUCGUGCAUACUGCAGAAACUUUUUGCAUUUGGUUCCAAGCCCUGGCUCCUCACAUCCCAUACGAAGAUUCCCAUUCUUAUGAUGGCAUCGGGAGUAAUCUAGUGAAGAAAAAUCUGGAAUAUCUUUAAAACCUCAACCACAAAACUGCUUAGGGGGAACCGUAGCCCAGCCUUGAAAAAGCUUUGGAAGAUCACCACUUCAUUCUCUUCGGGAGUAGGAGCAGUCUUGUCUCCAUUGUCAGCCCUCACCAGAGACAUAUCUCGAAAAUAUCUUCCCCUCAUAUUGUCAAGAUGACUCUACUUAAUAGUUGAUUUUCCGAAGACUGUGUGACUUGGUCGCCACGGUCGAUCUUCGGAGUCCUCGCCCCCCACUUUCCACAUCAUAACUGUCACUAUCACCAGUGUCUUUAGAUAAACCUUCUAAAAUCUCCUUAGUGAUCUUCUCUGUAUUUGUCUUUGCUAUUGAUUCAAGAAACCCAAGAUUCUUCUCCUCAGAAAGACUCAGCGUCGAUUCGGUAACAACUUUUUUAUCUUCAGACAUAUUCUGAAAUGUUGGAAAAAGGUGUUCUCAAAGCCGAAGCUUAGAAAAUUUAAGAAACCAAGCAAGCGUUGGUAUGCAAGAGCUAAAAAUUGGGAAAGCAAGAGCAGAUGGCAAGAAAGCGUGCCAAAUGAGCUCGCGGUGUGCUCUUAUUUGUACGCCUAGUAUGUUGCAAGUGAGAGGGCCCCGCUUGUCAUUGACUGUUGCUAUUCUAGCAAAGGGAAGGUGUUUUUUCGGACCUUCGGCUUAAGGCCUUCGUCCAUACCGCAAUCUGAAUUUAUCAUUCUAACAAAUUAAUAUUAUGAGGGGCUACUGUUGGGGGCCUUCGGCUUUCUAAGAUCCUCAAAAACAUGAUUUAACAAUGUUUCUGGAGUAUGAUACAUGAACAGGUACCUUCGGACUUAGGUCAAAACCACAGUGUGAAGAAGCACAAAGAAUACGAAGGAUGGUGUCGGCGUUUCGAGACAGGGGGUCCCUAAGCCGACGAGUGAGUGUGCUGCGUGCCCCAGCCCAGAUGGGUCGAGCGCGUGGGCGAGCGCGAAGGGGGGAGAGGCGAGGUGGCCGGAGCCGAGCGUGAGAGAGGUGGAAGUCCCGCGGCCUUCGUGUUCGUCCCGCGCCCAGGUCAGGUGCGCUUGCAGUAGGGGGGUUACAAGCGUCCACGCGGGUGAGGGAAGCGAGCGGCCCCAAGAGAGCGCCUGUCCCGUCCUCGGUCCCGCGCGGCCAACCUCCUCUGAGAAGGCCCUGGUCCUUCCUUUUAUAGUCGUAAGGAGAGGAUCCAGGUGUACAAUGGGGAUGUAACAGAGUGCUACGUGUCUAGCGGAGGGAGAGCUAGCGCCCUAGGUACAUGCCAAUGUGGCAGCCGGAGAGAUCUAGGCACCCUGCUGGCGUGAUGUCGUGGCUGUCGGAGGUGCGGCGGAGCCUGAUGGAGGGACAGCUGUUGGAGCGGUCGAGUCCCUGCUGACGUUGUCCUGCUUCCGUAAGAGAGCUGGGGGCCGCCGUCGUCAUAGAGCUUGUGGAGCGCCAUCAUUGCCUCUCUGGCGGAGCUGGCCGGAUGAGACGUCGGUCUUGUUCUCCGUGACCCGAGUCGAUUCGGGGUGGGAUGAUGAUGGCGCCUCCUGUUGACGUGGCGGUCUGUGCCCUAGGCAGGGCGACGUGGGGUUUCCUCCGAAGCCGAGGUUGAGUCUGCCUUCUGUUGCCGUGGCCGAGCCCGAGCCCGAGCCAAGGGGUCGGGCGAGGCGAAAGUCGUUCGGCCGAGGCCAGGGCGGAGUCCGAGCCCUGGGGUCGGGCGAGGCGGAGUUUCGUCGUCUUCCAGGUCUUAGCCCGAGUCCGAGCCCUGGGGUCGGGCGGAGCGGAGUUCGUCGUCUUCCGGGUCUUAGCCCGAGUCCGAGCCCUGGGGUCGGGCGGAGCGGAGUUCGUCGUCUUCCGGGUCUUAGCCCGAGUCCGAGCCCUAGGGUCGGGCGGAGCGGAGUUCGUCGUCUUCCGGGUCUUAGCCCGAGUCCGAGCCCUGGGGUCGGGCGGAGCGGAGUUCGUCGUCUUCCGGGUCUUAGCCCGAGUCCGAGCCCUGGGGUCGGGCGGAGCGGAGUUCGCCGUCUUCCGGGUCUUAGCCCGAGUCCGAGCCCUGGGGUCGGGCGGAGCGGAGUUCGCCGUCUUCCGGGUCUUAGCCCGAGUCCGAGCCCUGGGGUCGGGCGGAGCGGAGUUCGCCGUGGCGCCUUUGGCAAGGCCGGACUGCCUGUCAGACUUACUCUGUCGAGUGGCACUGCAGUCGGAGUGGCGCAGGCGGCGCUGUCCUUCUGUCAGACUGGCCAGUGGAGCGGUGGAGUGACGGCGGUCACCUCGGCUCUGCCGGGGGCGCGUGUCAGGAUAGAGGUGUCAGGCCACCUUUGCGUUAAAUGCCCCUGCAAUUUGGUUAGUCGGUGUGGUGAUUUAGUCAAGGUUGCUUCUGAGCGAAGCCAAGGCCUUGGGCGAGCCGGUGAUGUGUCCGCCAUAAAAAGGGGGCCUCGGGCGAGACGGAAGUCUCUCGAGGUCGGCUGCCUUUGGCCGAGGCUAGGCUCGGGUAAAGCGUGAUCGAGUCACUCGUGUGGACUGAUCCCUGACUUAAUCGCGCCCAUCAGGCCUUUGCAGCUUUAUGCUGAUGGGGGUUACCAGCUGAGAAUUAGGCGCCUUGAGGGUACCCCUAAUUAUGGUCCCCGACAGUAGCCCCCGAGCCUCGAAGGGAGUGUUAGCACUCGCUUGGAGGCUUUUGUCGCACUUUUUUGCAAGGGGACCAGCCUUUCUCGGUUGCAUUUCGUUCCGGUGGGUGCGCGCGAGCGCACCCGCCGGGUGUAGCCCCCGAGGCCUCGGAGGAGUGGUUACACUCCUUCGAGGUCUUAAUACUUCGCUUAACGCUUCGGCUGGUCUGGUCGUUCCCUCAUGCGAACUGGCCGUAGCCCGGGUGCACGGUCGGGGCCCAAGCUCUCGGGCUGGUAUGUUGACGCUGUCAACGAUUUGGCCGGAGCCGGUUUUUGCGAGAGCAGCCCCCGAGCCUCUGCACAGGGCGAGAGGACGAUCAGGGACAGACUCGGCUUUUUACAUACGCCCCUACGUCGCCUUUCCGCAAGGAGGAGGGGGGAGUGCGCCAUGUUACCCUCAAUGGGCACCGAACAUGGUGUCUCCGGUGAGCUGCAAGCGGGUAAUCCGAGUGGACGUCCGUGCCCCGUUCGUUGGGGGUCGGCUAGGGGCCCAAAGGCACGCCCAAAAGUACCUGCGGGUGACUUGCCGGACCCGGUCCCCUGGCGACGGGGUCCGAGGGCUCGAUGCCUCCCUCCGAUGGGAUUCCGUUACAAGAUCGUUCCCGCUGGUCUCGGAAAUGUCCUAGGGUACCUCGGGAGCACAGCCCGAGCCUCGGUUAUGUAUCGAACGUACCCCUGGUCAUCCCUCGCUCGGUGUCUGAGGCGACUGUGAACCCUUCGGGGGCCAGCCUUCGAACCCCUGACCAGUAGUGGGUGUCGGGCCCACGCGAUCUGAGGCGACUGUUGAACCCUCGGGGGGCCAGCCUUCGAACCCCUGAUCAGUAAUGGGGGGCUCGGAGCCCGGUUCCUUCACGGAGAAGGAUCCCUUUUCGGGGUAUCCCCCUUUCCCGGUCCCUGUUGCAAGAGAUAGAGAAAGAGGAAAACGGAAAAGGAUACGAAAUCGGACGACGUGGCGUACCUUUUCUGACGCGGUUAUUACGGCGAAGGUGAAGCGUCGCGCGCUCCUCCUGCCAGAAGCGCCGCGUGUCCUGCCGCGGGUUAAUGCGACGGGGCGAGUGGUUGGCGGGGCGGCCGUUGCGCUCAUGCGAUCCGUUCGAGGAACGGGUCACGGGUGCACCGUCUUCACGCCGUGAGAGGAGGCUCUCUUGCUGUCUCAGGAUGGGACGUGAGCCUGGCUGACGACGUGACCGCUGCGCCCGCCCGCCUGCCACCGCUAUUACUGCCGGCCCACUUUCGGUCGCUUUGACCGACGCGCCAGUCUGGCGCUGUUGGGUCGCCUCGAGUCGUGGCAUAGGCUUCGCAACCGAAGAGGCGCGAUGGUGGCACAAGUGGCGGUGCGGUUGCUUGCAUGUAGCAACUGGCGCGCCGAUUGCUCGACGCGUGGGCCUGGGUUCCAAGCUGGCGUGUCAGAAGUCGGAGAAGCGCGUCCAUCUGGCGCGGUUGCAUGCCGCCUGCAUGGCUGCCCGCCCCUUCUGCCCGUUGGUCUGGGCGAAAAUGGGGAGUCGCCUGUAACCGCUGGACGGUCGUGCGCACCAUGCGCGGCGGUUUGGCUUCUUCUGCCCUGAGCCGGCUUGCAUGACAUGCGGGACCCAGCCCCCGAGUCGCAGGGGAGGGCCUUGGAGCGUGUUGGAACGGGCGGCAGCGAGCCGCCCAUCGUUCUUCAGUUACUCCGCAGGCCUUCCCCUUCGGAGGGGGGUUGUUCGUUCAUUGUGGCUGUCGAGGCCUGAACGUGUAUGUAAUUUCGGCACUGAGCCGUGUUUUUUCCUCAUUUUCGAGCACUAAGUCUCGCCUGUUUGAUUAUCUGAACCGCUUUACCAAGCAUGAGUUGCCCCGUGUCAAGGUGACGGGUGAGGUAUCCGUAUCCCGGAGGCGUAGGAAUCCCUCGGCCCGUUCGGCCUUGUUGUCUGGGGCUCCUCUAGCUUAGUUGAAGAGACCCCUCGGCCGCCCUUCGGUGGACCGAGGCCAGGGGUAGCGAUAUCAGUAUGAACAGAGGCGGAGUUGGCUCGAGAAUGGGAACCUGGUUGGCCGGAGCCUAGCCGUGUUGUCCGUCAGCGGGGCCGACGCCAAAGUCGAUCAGUCGAGGCCUCGGGUCGGGCUGGCGCCCUUGGAAGCCGGUUGACCGAGGCCCCAGGGGUAACCGGUUGAGCCGCCUGCUCGGGCCGGAUUCCCGGAGGAGCCCCUGGACCGCGGCGCCGCCCGAGGCUGGGUCGGGCUUUGCUGAAGACGUCGUCGAUGCCGAGGGUGCUACGGCUCCCUUCGGCGUGAAGACCCGAGCCUGCAGGAUCAGAUCAUCUUGUAGCGUGUGCUUUCUACGGCCGCCGAGGCCAGAAGAAAACGCCCUCGCCGCGCUUGCGAAGCUGCGUCUUUUUUCCUCCUGUUUCAAGCAUCUGGACUCUGUUGGUAACAGGGAUGUUUGAGUGAGCGAGAGUUGCUUUUCGCGGAAGGGACGAGUGAGGUAUCCGUAUCCCAGAGGCGUGGGAAUCCCUCGGCUCGGUCGGCCUUGCCGCUUACGCGUACUUUCACCCGUCCAUGAGGCCCUAUCCCCGACUUAGUCGAGAAAGCUUGAAGGACUGCUUCGGCAGGAGAGCUUCCGAACGUGAUGACUCGUUCGGUCCACGGAGUCGCUUUACCCGAGCGCAAGUUACUUAUCGCAGAAAGGGACGAGUGAGGUAUCCGUAUCCCGGAGGUGUAGGAGUCCCUCGGCUCGGUCAGCCUUGGCUGCUUACGUGUACCUCGUCGUUUCCAGGAUCCGCUUUCCGAAGUAGUCAAGAAGCACGAAAGAAAUCCUGCUAAAAAGAGAUCCUUUUUCGAGGAAAAAUUCGACGCAGAGGGGGUCUCCCCCCUUUUAGCCCCCGAGGGAGGGUCGGGCUUUGCCGAGGCUAGGCCGACCCUUCCUUGACAACUAAACUUUGCGUAGGUGCGAGGUAUAUGAACAACUUGGAAACAUCUUAAGGGUAGAAGCGACGUAGCUGUUUGAUGUUCCAAGCGUUGCCGUAGAUCUCGCCUUGAUUGCUGGCCAGCUUGUAUGUUCCGGGCUUCAGAACUUUGGCGAUGACGAAUGGCCCUUCCCAGGGGGGCGUGAGCUUGUGCCUCCCUCGGGCGUCUUGUCGCAGCCGAAGCACCAGGUCGCCCACCUGGAGUUCUCGGGACCGGACCCCUCGGGCGUGGUAGCGUCCCAGGGACUGUUGGUACCGCGCCGAGUGCAGCAAGGCCCUGUCCCGAGCUUCCUCCAGCUGGUCCAGCGAUUCCUCUCGGCUGGCUUGGUUGCUUUGUUCGGUGUAGGCCCUCGCCCUCGGGGAGCCGUACUCCAGGUCAGUGGGCAAGAUAGCUUCAGCCCCGUAGACCAGGAAAAACGGCGUGAAGCCCGUGGCACGACUCGGCGUCGUCCUUAGGCUCCAGACCACCGAGGGGAGUUCCUUCAUCCAUCGCCUGCCGAACUUGUUGAGGUCGUUGUAGAUCCGAGGCUUGAGCCCUUGUAGAAUCAUGCCGUUGGCACGCUCUACCUGCCCAUUCGACAUGGGAUGAGCCACGGCGGCCCAGUCCACCCGGAUAUGGUGAUCUUCGCAAAAAUCCAAGAAUUUUUUGCCGGUGAACUGGGUGCCGUUGUCGGUGAUGAUGGAGUUCGGGACCCCGAAGCGAUGGAUGAUGUUGGUGAAGAAUGCCACCGCCUGCUCGGACCUGAUGCUGUUCAGAGGUCGGACCUCGAUCCACUUGGAGAAUUUGUCGAUGGCGACCAGCAGGUGCGUGUAGCCCCCGGGCGCCUUCUGCAAGGGACCGACGAGGUCCAGACCCCAUACAGCGAAGGGCCAGGUGAUGGGUAUUGUCUGCAGAGCCUGAGCGGGCAGGUGUGUCCGCUUCGCAUAGAAUUGGCACCCUUCGCAGGUGCGGACAAUUCUAGUGGCGUCAGCCACCGCCGUUGGCCAGUAGAAGCCUUGCCGGAAAGCAUUUCCAACAAGGGCUCGGGGUGCUGCGUGGUGGCCGCAAGCCCCCGAGUGUACUUCUUGCAGCAGUUCCCGACCUUCGGCGAUGGAGAUGCAUCGCUGGAGGAUGCCCGAGGGGCUGCGAUGGUAGAGCUCCUCUUCGUCGCCCAGCAAGAUGAAUGACUUGGCGCGUCGCGCUACCCGCCGAGCCUCGACUUGGUCGAGGGGUAGCUCUCCUCGACGGAGAUAUUGCAGGUACGGGGCCUGCCAAUCUUGGUCUGGCGUGGCCCCGCUCUGCCCUUCUUCGACGUUCAAUGCCCCGCCCUCGGGGGCCGAGGGUACCUCGGGCUGGGCCGAGGGUGCCUCGGGCUGAACCGAGGGUACCUCGGGCUGAGCCGAGGGUACCUCGGGCUGAGCCGAGGGUACCUCGGGCUCGGGCGCGUCGUCGAGCUUGACGGAGGGUUGAUGCAGAUCCCGGGAGAAGACGUCCGGGGGGACUGUCGUUCGCCCCGAGGCUAUCUUAGCCAGCUCGUCUGCGGUUUCGUUGUAGCGCCGAGCGAUGUGGUUGAGCUCGAGCCCGAGGAACUUGUCUUCCAGGCGCCGAACCUCGUCGCAGUAGGCCUCCAUCUUCGGGUCGCGGCAGUGGGAGUUCUUCAUGACUUGGUCGAUGACGAGCUGCGAAUCACCGCGGGCGUCGAGGCGUCUGACCCCUAGCUCGAUGGCGAUCCGCAAUCCGUUGACCAGAGCUUCGUACUCGGCCACAUUGUUGGACGCCGGGAAGUGGAGGCGCAGCACGUAGCGCAAGUGCUUUCCGAGGGGCGAGAUGAAGAGCAGGCCCGCGCCGGCCCCCGUCUUCAUCAGCGACCCGUCGAAAAACAUGGUCCAGAGCUCCGGUUGGAUCGGAGUCGUUGGCAGUUGGGUGUCGACCCAUUCGGCCACGAAAUCCGCCAACACUUGGGACUUGAUGGCCUUCCGAGGGGCGAACGAGACCGUUUCGCCCAUGAUCUCCACCGCCCACUUUGCGAUCCUGCCCGAGGCCUCUCGGCACUGGAUGAUCUCCCCCAGGGGGAAGGAUGACACCACAGUUACCGGAUGGGACUCGAAGUAGUGUCGUAGCUUCCGCCUUGUCAGGAUCACAACAUACAGCAGCUUUUGAACUUGUGGGUAGCGGAUCUUGGUCUCGGACAGCACUUCGCUGAUGAAGUAGACCGGCCUCUGAACGGGCAAUGUAUGCCCUUCCUCCUGCCUUUCGACCACAAUCGCGGCGCUAACCACCUGAGUGGUCGCGGCGACGUAGACCAAGAGGGUUUCCCCGUCCGCCGGCGGCACCAAGACUGGCGCCUUUGUAAGGAGCGCCUUCAGGUUGCCGAGGGCUUCCUCGGCCUCAGGGGUCCAAACGAAACAUUCGGCCUUCCUUAAGAGGCGGUACAGAGGCAGACCUCUUUCGCCGAGGCGUGAGAUGAAACGGCUCAGGGCCGCGAGGCAUCCCAUGACCCUCUGUACCCCUUUUAAGUCCUUGAUGGGUCCCAUGCUGGUGAUGGCCGCAAUCUUCUCCGGGUUGGCUUCGAUGCCUCGCUCAGAGACGAUGAACCCUAGGAGCAUGCCUCGGGGUACCCCGAAGACACACUUCUCAGGAUUAAGCUUGACUCCUUUCGCCUUGAGACACCGGAAUGUCACUUCAAGGUCGGAGAGGAGGUCGGAAGCCUUCCGUGUCUUGACUACGAUGUCAUCGACGUAGGCCUCGACUGUGCGUCCGAUGUGUUCGCCGAACACAUGGUUCAUGCACCGCUGGUACGUCGCGCCUGCAUUCCUCAAGCCGAACGGCAUGGUGACAUAGCAGUACAUGCCGAACGGCGUGAUGAAAGAAGUCGCGAGCUGGUCGGACUCUUUCAUCCGGAUCUGGUGAUACCCCGAGUAGGCAUCGAGGAAGGACAGGGUUUCGCACCCAGCAGUGGAAUCCACGAUUUGGUCGAUGCGAGGCAGAGGGUAGGGAACCUUCGGACAUGCUUUGUUGAGACCAGUGUAGUCUACACACAUCCGCCAUUUCCCCCCUUUCUUCCUCACAAGCACAGGGUUGGCAAGCCAUUCGGGAUGGAAUACCUCUUUGAUGAACCCUGCCGCCAUUAGCUUGUGGAUCUCUUCGCCAAUCGCUCUGCGCUUCUCCUCGUCGAAUCGGCGCAGAGGCUGCCUGACGGGUCGGGCUCCGGCCCGAAUAUCCAGCGAGUGCUCGGCGACAUCCCUCGGUAUGCCGGGCAUGUCCGAGGGACUCCACGCAAAGACGUCGGCGUUUGCGCGGAGAAAGUCGACGAGCACUGCUUCCUAUUUGGGGUCGAGCCCGGAACCGAUCCGGAUCUGCUUGGUGGUGUCGCCACUGGGGUCGAGGGGGACGGCCUUGACCAUCUCCGCUGGCUCGAAGUUGCCGGCAUGGCGCUUCACGUCUGGGACCUCCUUGGAGAGGUUCUCCAGGUCGGCGAUGAGGGACUCGGACUCGGUGAGGGCCUCGGCGUACUCCACGCACUCCACGUCGCGUUCAAACGCGUGUUUGUACGUGGGGCCGACGGUGAUGACCCCGUUGGGGCCCGGCAUCUUGAGCUUCAGGUAGGUGUAGUUGGGGACGGCCAUGAACUUCGCGUAGCAUGGCCUCCCUAGCACGGCGUGGUAGGUUCCUCGGAACCCGACCACUUCGAACGUCAGGGUCUCCCUUCGGAAGUUGGAGGGUGUCCCGAAGCAGACUGGGAGGUCGAGUCGCCCGAGGGGCUGGACGCGCUUCCCAGGGAUGAUCCCGUGGAAGGGCGCAGCGCCUGCUCGGACGGAGGACGGAUCGACGCGCAGAAGCUUGAGGGUCUCGGCGUAGAUGAUGUUGAGGCAGCUGCCCCCGUCCAUCAGGACCUUGGUGAGGCUGACAUCGCCGACAACGGGGUCGACGACGAGCGGGUAUUUCCCCGGGCUCGGCACAUGGUCGGGGUGGUCGGCCCGGUCGAAAGUGAUGGGCUUGUCGGACUAGUCUAGGUAGACUGGCGCCGCCACCUUCACCGAGCAGACCUCCCGGCGCUCUUGCUUGCGGUGCCGAGCCGAGGUAUUCGCUGCAUGCCCUCCAUAGAUCAUGAAGCAGUCGCGGACCUCGGGGAACCCCCCUGCUGGGUGAUCUUCGUUCUUGUCGUUGUCGUGGGCCCUGCCACCCUCGGCGGGUGGCCCGGCCCUGUGGAAAUGACGCCGAAGCAUAACGCACUCCUCGAGGGUGUGCUUGACGGGCCCCUGAUGGUAGGGGCACGGCUCCUUGAGCAUCUUGUCGAAGAGGUUUGCACCUCCGGGGGGCUUCCGAGGGUUCUUUUACUCGGCGGCGGCGACAAGGUCCGCGUCGGCGGCGUCGCGCUUCGAUUGCGACUUCUUCUUGCCUUUCUUCUUGGCGCCGCGCGGAGCAGACGCCUCGGGAGCUUCUUCCGAUGGGCGGCCCUGGGGCUGCUUGUCCUUUCGGAAGAUAGCCUCGACCGCCUCCUGGCCGGAGGCGAACUUGGUGGCGAUGUCCAUCAGCUCGCUCGCCCUGGUGGGGGUUUUGCGACCCAGCUUGCUCACCAGGUCGCGGCAAGUGGUGCCGGCGAGGAACGCGCCGAUGACAUCCGAGUCGGUGAUGUUGGGCAGCUCGGUGCGCUGCUUCGAGAAUCGCCGGAUGUAGUCCCGGAGCGACUCCCCCGGCUGUUGCCGGCAGCUUCGAAGGUCCCAGGAAUUCCCGGGGCGCACGUAUGUGCCUUGGAAAUUGCCAGCGAAGGCUUGGACCAAGUCGUCCCAGUUGGAAAUCUGCCCCGGAGGCAGGUGCUCCAACCAGGCGCGAGCAGUGUCGGAGAGGAACAGGGGGAGGUUGCGGAUGAUGAGGUUGUCGUCGUCCGUUCCACCCAGUUGGCAGGCAAGGCGGUAGUCUGCGAGCCACAGUUCCGGUCUCGUUUCCCCCGAGUACUUUGUGAUAGUAGUCGGGGGUCGGAACCGGGUCGGGAAUGGCGCCCGUCGGAUGGCCCGACUGAAGGCCUGCGGACCGGGUGGUUCGGGCGAGGGACUCCGAUCCUCCCCGCUGUCGUAGCGCCCCCCACGCCUAGGGUGGUAGCCUCGGCGCACCCUUUCGUCGAGGUGAGCCCGACGGUCGCGUCGAUGGUGCUCGUUGCCGAGGUGGCCCGGGGCCGCAGGCGCGGUGUUGCGCGUGCGCCCGGUGUAGACCGAGGCUUCCCGCAUGAAUCGGGAAGUCGCGGCAUGAGGUUCCGAGGGAUAUCCUUGCCUCCGGGAUGCAGUGCUCUCGGCCCGCCGGGCCGCAGCACCUUCCAGGAGAUUCUUGAGUUCUCCCUGGAUUCGCCGACCCUCGGUGGUUGACGGCUCCGGCAUCGCGCGGAUGAGCAUCGCUGCGGUUGCCAGGUUCUGACCGACCCCGCUGGAUGCGGGGGGCGGCCUGAUCCUGACAUCGUUGGUGACGCGGUGCUGGAGACCUUGGGGCAGAUGAUGUAUUUCUCCGGCCAGGGGUUGGCCCACCCAUGCCUGUCCGACGUCCCGACGGAUCGGCUCAAGCGCUCCUGUUCCCUCGUUGAGCCUGGCCUGCGCCUCGCGGACUUGCUCGAGUUGUGGGUCGUAACCCCCCGCCGGAGCGGGGACCACAGCUAGCUCCCGUGGGAUGUCGGCGCGAGGCACCGGCCUGGGGAGGUCACCAUCCUCCGGCAUGCCAAGAUGGUUGCCUUCGGUGGGAUCCCCUAGCUCGAUGUGGAAACAUUCGCGGCUUGGGCCACAGCUCUCGUCGCCAAGGCUGCGGCUUCCAUCGGAACAGUCGGAUAGACAGUAGUCACAUGCGGUCAUGAAGUCCCGCACGGCACUGGGGUUGCCAAGUCCGGAGAAAUCCCAACCGAUGCUGAGAUCGUCAUCUUCCUCGGACCCAGAGGGCCCGUAGGUCGAGACGUCCGUCAGUCGGUCCCAAGGUGACCGCAUACAGAACCUCAGUGGGGUUGCACUCGCCUCAAUGAGAGCGCCCGCCAAAACGAGGUCGUUUGGCGGGUUGAGGCCGAGUCGAAAUGACGCAAGAUGGGAGUUAGUCGUUACCUUUUGGUCGACGAGGAGCGACGUAGUCACACCGGGGACUGGUUGCGCCGUCAUCCCUGGUUCGAGGGCGACGUCCUGCAGGCUUUCCGCGAGCGCGCCGGCGUCGUCUUCUCGCUCAAGGUCAGCGUGCCGCGGGGGGACGGCGCUCGCCUCCGUCUCGAACGCGAGGUCGACGUCCGGCGUGCCUUCCGUCGGGGCGUCGGGGGCGUCGAUUCGCUCGACGGCCGACGAAGCGCGGCCUCCCGUCUGGCCUUGACGGCUCCGCCUCCUCCUCCGUUGGCGGGGGAGAGAACGGAGCGAGCCCGAAUACUGCUCUUCCACCACGCGGGGAAGACGUCGUCGAUUCCGCCGCCGGCGGGCGGGUCGUCGGCCGCUGUUGUCGUAGUCGCGCGGCGGUGGAAGAAGUGUCAUGUCGUAGCUGCCGUCGAAGGACAUGAACUCGAGAGUCCCGAAACGAAGCACCGUCCCGGGCCGGAGAGGUUGCUGGAGACUGCCCAUCUGGAGCUUGACGGGGAGCUGUUCGUCAGCACGCAGCAGGCCCCUACCUGGCGCGCCAACUGUCGGUGUUUCGAGACAGGGGGGUCCCUAAGCCGACGAGUGAGUGUGCUGCGUGCCCCAGCCCAGAUGGGUCGAGCGCGUGGGCGAGCGCGAAGGGGGGAGAGGCGAGGUGGCCGGAGCCGAGCGUGAGAGAGGUGGAAGUCCCGCGGCCUUCGUGUUCGUCCCGCGCCCAGGUCAGGUGCGCUUGCAGUAGGGGGGUUACAAGCGUCCACGCGGGUGAGGGAAGCGAGCGGCCCCAAGAGAGCGCCUGUCCCGUCCUCGGUCCCGCGCGGCCAACCUCCUCUGAGAAGGCCCUGGUCCUUCCUUUUAUAGUCGUAAGGAGAGGAUCCAGGUGUACAAUGGGGAUGUAACAGAGUGCUACGUGUCUAGCGGAGGGAGAGCUAGCGCCCUAGGUACAUGCCAAUGUGGCAGCCGGAGAGAUCUGGGCACCCUGCUGGCGUGAUGUCGUGGCUGUCGGAGGUGCGGCGGAGCCUGAUGGAGGGACAGCUGUUGGAGCGGUCGAGUCCCUGCUGACGUUGUCCUGCUUCCGUAAGAGAGCUGGGGGCCGCCGUCGUCAUAGAGCUUGUGGAGCGCCAUCAUUGCCUCUCUGGCGGAGCUGGCCGGAUGAGACGUCGGUCUUGUUCUCCGUGACCCGAGUCGAUUCGGGGUGGGAUGAUGAUGGCGCCUCCUGUUGACGUGGCGGUCUGUGCCCUAGGCAGGGCGACGUGGGGUUUCCUCCGAAGCCGAGGUUGAGUCUGCCUUCUGUUGCCGUGGCCGAGCCCGAGCCAAGGGGUCGGGCGAGGCGGAAGUCGUUCGGCCGAGGCCAGGGCGGAGUCCGAGCCCUGGGGUCGGGCGAGGCGGAGUUUCGUCGUCUUCCGGGUCUUAGCCCGAGUCCGAGCUCUGGGGUCGGGCGGAGCGGAGUUCGUCGUCUUCCGGGUCUUAGCCCGAGUCCGAGCCCUGGGGUCGGGCGGAGCGGAGUUCGUCGUCUUCCGGGUCUUAGCCCGAGUCCAAGCCCUGGGGUCGGGCGGAGCAGAGUUCGUCGUCUUCCGGGUCUUAGCCCGAGUCCGAGCCCUGGGGUCGGGCGGAGCGGAGUUCGUCGUCUUCCGGGUCUUAGCCCGAGUCCGAGCCCUGGGGUCGGGCGGAGCGGAGUUCGCCGUCUUCCGGGUCUUAGCCCGAGUCCGAGCCCUGGGGUCGGGCGGAGCGGAGUUCGCCGUCUUCCGGGUCUUAGCCCGAGUCCGAGCCCUGGGGUCGGGCGGAGCGGAGUUCGCCGUGGCGCCUUUGGCAAGGCCGGACUGCCUGUCAGACUUACUCUGUCGAGUGGCACUGCAGUCGGAGUGGCGCAGGCGGCGCUGUCCUUCUGUCAGACUGGCCAGUGGAGCGGUGGAGUGACGGCGGUCACCUCGGCUCUACCGGGGGCGCGUGUCAGGAUAGAGGUGUCAGGCCACCUUUGCGUUAAAUGCCCCUGCAAUUUGGUCAGUCGGUGUGGUGAUUUAGUCAAGGUUGCUUCUGAGCGAAGCCAAGGCCUUGGGCGAGCCGGUGAUGUGUCCGCCAUAAAAAGGGGGCCUCGGGCGAGACGGAAGUCUCUCGAGGUCGGCUGCCUUUGGCCGAGGCUAGGCUCAGGUGAAGCGUGAUCGAGUCACUCGUGUGGACUGAUCCCUGACUUAAUCGCGCCCAUCAGGCCUUUGCAGCUUUAUGCUGAUGGGGGUUACAAGCUGAGAAUUAGGCGCCUUGAGGGUACCCCUAAUUAUGGUCCCCGACAGAUGGCGCAGAGCCUAAGCUAUGUGCAGGGGAGCUUCGGCGUGAUGGCAGAAAAGGAAACCGACCUAAAGGGAAAAAGGCUAUUUAGACCCCGAUGGAUUACUAUAGAGUUAUUAGCAAAUGUAAAGGGCAUGGGUGUAAUUUUACAUGGGCUGCGUCCCAUGCCUAUAAAUAGAUGAACAGUGUUCCCGUACUGUUCAUGCUGACUUGGCAUUUGCUUUUGCGUCACGUUUGUACUUUUGCCUUCUCUCAAGCCGAAGGUACAUUUGUAAUUUGUUAUCAUUUCUAUUUUUCUAUAAUAAUAAAAUAGAAAUGAGUUAAUAAUAAUAUUUAAGUGUUUACAUUAUUUCUUAUACUUUAUAUGAAUCCUUCUUCAUUUUUUGUUGUUCCUAUGAAGGUAUGUCCUUCAUAACCUUCGUCCGAAACUCAUUAUAUCCCAAGGGAAAUAAUGCUUCGGAGGACGAAGAACUUUAACGUUUAACAAUUUCUGUGUUGCCUUGUUCUUAAUUCAUAGCAUUUAAGAACAAGUCCCCAACACUUACAUCACUCUCCAUGUUAUGAAUUAGAUUUGUUCCCAUUAUCUUAAGGAAUUAACUAUGCUUGUUUCAUAAGUUAAAACUAAGCAUAUAUCAUGGAAUAAUCUAGUUCAUAUUAUGAAGUUUCCAUGCUUUAGUAAUCCACUUUUCAUUCCUUGUCAAAAUGAUUACAAAAAGGGAAACUCAUGCUUGUGUUACUAAUGACAUAUCUCUUGAGCUUACUUAUGAAAAUCUACAAGAAAGUAAGUGCAAGCCACGAGCCUCAAGGGUUGCUCUUCACCCAAAAGAAGAAAGGUAAAAGCAAAGGUAUGGGAACUCAUCUUCUUAAUCAAAUAUAGUUCCCAUCAAUGGUUAUUUACUCUAACUUAUCAUAUUCUACCUAUGUGAAGAAUAGAUUCUUUAUUGGACUUAAAUGAGCUAGAUGUGCAUUCAAUCUCGUUCUCAUAAAUACACUUGUCCAUUAGAAUCUAAUUCAUGCCUUUGCUAUAUCUGUUCUCAUAUUGAUAUGCUUUUAAGAUGUGAUAAUAAAUUCAAUAUGAAGAAGUAAAUUUCCUUGAUUGAUCAAAAUGUUUAAAAGAUGUAUAUUCCUCUUUUCUAAUGAUGUGCACUAACGUUAAGGAAUUUACUUCAUAUAUAUGUGAAUUAUGGAUGAUGAAUUGCAUUUAUUUCCUAUUUAAAGAAAUCAUCCUUCAUUAUAUACUCUCUUGUGCUAUUAACAUCUUUCUUGAGUAUUUUCAUAAGUUUGGAAGGAAAAAGAAGCCACUGCAAAGGGAGGACUCUCAAAUGAAAAAGGAGGACAUCAAGAACAACACCACCUAUUUCUACAAAACAAUCAAUGUUGUGGUUGUGAGUACUCUAAAUCCUUUUCAUUGUGAGAAUAUCAGGCAUAAGGUGUUUAUUGCAAAUCUUAUAAGUCUUGAUCAAGAUGAAUAAUGCUUCUCCCUAUUUGUUUUAAAAGUGAGUACAUCUAUCCAAUUCAUUCAAUUUCUUGAUGCAUAUCUUUAGGGGGGGGGCCUAUUUCUAUAUCUUGAUUAUAUUGAGACUAACACUUUAUCUUAGUAAUCUCAUAUCGUCUCAUGUAUGAGAACAAUUUUCUCAUGAAGUAUGCUACUACAUAUCAAUCCAUCUUGGUAAAAUAAUGUCACCUUUAUCAAGGAUUGUAGCUUUCAUUGUUAAAGUAGCAUAUUUACUGGAUUUUCCCGCUUUAAGCUAGUUUAAUGAUCUAAUGCCUAUGUUGUUCUUUUGAUCGCAUCUGUUGUUUGUUUGAUCAUUGAAUAACUUAAAUUAACACUUAUGCCUCUUGGUGCCUCAUAAUUUCAAUCAAUAUCUCUCUUGAUAUGCACUAAGUUAAAAGGAGAAUUCAUGAUUUAUUUAUGCAAUUUGUGAUCUACUUGAUAUAUAAUAACAUGACUUAGAAAAGGAUCACUAGUUGUAGAACUCUCUCGUGUGCAAAAUAUUUCCAUACACUGUCUUGAUUAUAAGUCUUAAGUAACUAAGACUAAGGUUAAAGCACAAUGAAGAGAGCGUCUCUAUGUGAAGGUACAAAAGGGUAAAACUACUUCCUCUCAUUUAUAAAUGUACCUAAAUCUUCUAUACAUUCCUUGCAUAUCUUGUAUAAAAGAAAGAGAAAGCAUGUCAAUGCAUUAUCCUUGCUUCAUACCUAGUUCAACCUCUCAAAAAUUUUCAUUCUUGCAUUAAUGCACUUUUGUUGCAACUAGGUGAAGUGAUUUUAUUGUCAAAGAGCUUAAAGCUUAACCUUGUAAUGAGGAUAAGCUACCUUUGUUUCAAAGGUGGAGGGUCCUUACGUCUCUUUGAAAUCCUUAAGGGUAAAUGCUUAAAAUGAUUCCAACAUGCUUUCAUAAGUGCAUAGUCUGUCAUGAGCAUCACACUUUUAUUAUGACACUUUGCACUUCACAAAUUUCUAUGAUAUAGAUAUGUUCUCAUUAACCUAAUUAUGUGCACUUGGCAUUUAAGGCCAAAAUCUCUAUUCCUCUCAAGGCACAUAUUUAGGGGGAGCAAUCUAUAUUAUAUAGAACUGUUUAAGCUUAAUUGACAUAUCCUUUUAAUCAUGUCCCUUUCCUUUGGUACAUUUGCAUAUUUUCUAUCUCUAUUAUGCCAAGGCUAAGACUAAUAUGUUUCCAUGAGCAUCUCAUGUAUUAAGUCUUAGAUUGAAAGGGAAAUGGAGUAUUCGGCAAAUACAUCGCUUCCACUCUACAUCUUCGGUAUUAUCCUUCCUUGCCAGUAUUCCGUCAGCUCUCCAAUUUGGUAUAAUCUUCACUUAUAUAUUGUUUGCCAAAGGGGGAGAGAAAGUAAAGAAGGGCUUAUAUUUCACUCACAAGUAUCCGUUUUUGGUGAUUCAUGCCAAAGGGGGAGAAAGUAUUAGCCCAAAACAAAAGGAUCGCACCACCACCAAUUUCAAUUGGUAUAGUAUUAGCCCAAAGCAAAAGGACCGCACCACCACCAAUUUCAAAAUUUGUAGUCUUUCAAUUUGUAUUAAAGAAGUGUUGUUAAAGAUUUUCAAAUUGGUAUCUUAUUUUUGAUAUAAUUUCAAAUUGGUAUAACCUCUUCAAAAUUAAUAUCUAAAACCCUCUUGAACACUAAGAGGAGAAUUUCAUUGAGGGGGAGUUUUGUUUAAGUCAAAGGAAAUGCAUUUGAAACAGGGGGAGAAAAAUUUUAAAUCUUGAAAAUGCUUCGUUCAAAUCUUAUUCUUAUACCUUUGACUAUUUGCAAAAGGAUUUUGAAAAGAAUUUUACAAAGGAUUUGCAAAAACAAAACUUGUGGUGCAAAUGUGGUCCAAAGUUUUAAAUAAGAAGAAAACCAUUUAUGCAUAUCUAUUGAAAUAAUUAUAUUGGUUUAAAUUCCAAGCAACCUUUGCACGUACCUUAGGCAAACUAGUUCAAUUAUGCAUUUAUAUGUUUGCUUUGGUUUGUGUUGGCAUCAAUCACCAAAAAGGGGGAGAUUGAAAGGGAAAUAGGGUCAAACCUUUUCCUAAAUGAUUUUGGUGGUUGAAUUGGCCAACACAAAUAAUUGGACUAACUAGUUUGCUCUAGAUUAUACAUUCUACAGGUGCCAAAGGUUCAACACAAACCAGCAAAAAGAACAAGUUAGCCUUCAAAAGAAAGGAGCAAAAAGGAAACCGAAGUGUGCCCUGGUCUGGCGCACUGGACUGUCCGGUGUGCCACCAGACAGUGUCUGAUGCACCACCGGACAGUGUCCGGUGCACCAGGGUGUAUCAGCUCAAACUCCUCAGCUUCGGGUUUCCCAGGCGCAGCUCCGCUAUAAUUCACCGGACUGUCCGGUGUGCCACCGGACUGUCCGGUGCACCAGCGGAGCAACGACUAUCAGCGCGCAACGGUCGACUCUGACAGUGAACAGUACAGAAUAGUGAACGCGUCAGAAGUUAGACCAGUUGGUCAGAGGGGCACCGGACUGUCUGGUGCCACAUGAGGACAAAGCCUCCAACGGUCGACCAGCUCCAAGCCCUAACGACAAGAUGACGUGGCGGCGCACCGGACACUGUCCGGUGGCGCCCAUCACCAGCAGGCUUCUUCAACGACUACAAUUUGGUUGGUGGCUAUAAAUACCACCCCAACCGGCCACUUCAAGGUUUGGGAGCCCAAGCAACAUUCCAAGUCAUAUAGUUGACAUAUCCAAGCCCUCCCAACCACCUCUAUUCAUUGAUCCAUCCCAUACACAAGAUUUAGACCACUACAACCAACACAAGUGCCACAAAAGAGAAAGCAAGCAAGAGAGAGCUACUCAUUUGAGUUUAGCACUAGUGCCUUGUGAGAUUCAUUGAGAGAUAGUGUGUGCUACAUCUUUGUGUUCAUUUGCGCAUGGAGUUUUGACUCCCAUUGAACUUCCUCCAAAGUUUUGGAGGCUUGUAAAGCUAGCAAGAGACACCUAAGUGUGUGGUGAUCCUUGCGGGGUCUUAAGAGACACUUGAGAAGAAGAAGAGCUCGCUGAUCUUGGGGAUCGGUUGAGAGAGGGAAAGGGUUGAAAGAGACUCGUCCAUAGUGGACUCCUCAACGGGGACUAGGCCUUUGAGGGCCGAACCUCGGUAAAACAAAUCACCCGUGUCUCGUGUGUUUAUUACUUGUGAUUUGUUUGUUCUCUCUCUUUCUAAGUUUUCUUGCUCUAUUCUUUGCUAAUACUAUCUGGUGUUGCUUUAAGUUAAAUUCUUAUGUAGUGAAACAACACAUUGCAAGAAAGAACUUGUGUCAUUGCUCUUCUUAUUUAAGCCCCCUUGCUUUAUUCUCAUAGACCUAUUAGUUGUAUUGUUUAUCAAUUCCGCAUUAUUUGAAAGCAUACUCUUUACAAGCAAUGACUUAGUUUUAUACUCCGAUAAUUGUAUAUCUUAUUCUAAUCACUAAUCAAGGGAUCUAGUUGAGGGAUAAAGUUUUAAUUUUCAGGUUUCGCCUAUUCACCCCCCCCCCCUCUAGGCGACUUUCACCUUCAUCGAAGAAGAAAAAUGUACUAGGCAUGAUCUGGAGUAUAGCCACCUGCUAGCGGACAUAAAACUUAGUACAAAUAUUUCACAAACAUUUGCCAACAAUCAACAAAUCGCUCCUACACCUGAAACCAAGACCUGGUGGAAAACCUCCCACUCUGAACCACAUGUCAUACAGCAGCAACGCUGUUUGUUAAUUUUGUAUCUUUAAAAUUAUAACAGUGAUGAUAUCAAACAAAUACUCUAGGAUUAUCUACACAAAAUACUCUACAACUUCGGCAUUCGAUGGAUAAUUAAAUUCUGCCAUCUAUAAGUUCUAAAACAUCUGACAAGAUAACUAACUGAAUCUGUUUUAGACAGCAGCAUAGUUAACUUUCAAAAUUUGAUAUCUCACAAACUACUCAACCAAAAAUCAUGAAAUUCUGCUGGAAGUAAGAACUUGUAUCCCUCUACAAAAGUCUCCAUAGCUGGGAGAACCAAUUCGGCCAUUUACCUGAUGAAACCUACCAGUGAACAGACCCGCUCAUUUCUGUCAGGCCAACAGAAACAGCCACAGUAAAACAAACAUAACUGGAGUUUCAUAAUUCAUAUGAAUGCACUCUUUAAUAAUCUGGAAAGCUUAUGCAAUUAUCUACAUCUUUUCUUACAAACUCAAGGUUUAAUUCUGUAGAUAAAAUUGCCUAAAUCUUAAGAGAACAUAUUCUGCACAGAAUUAAGAGACUGGAAAACUGUUAUAAUCAAACUGCAAUAACUCUCUGAUCUGAUGUCCGAUUGAGGUGUUCUUUGCGGCCACGGAAAGAUCUACAAAUUAUCUACGACUCAUAUAUAGACUUUUUAUUUUUUUGAGGCCACUAAAAUCACAGAAAACUGGCAUAAACAGAAACUGUCGAAUCUGCCAUUCUGCAGAAAACUAAAUUCGAGAUCAAAACCUAACCCCACAUCUAAUCCAACCUCUAAUCCUUUAAUUCCCAUGAUCCACAACCUCCAAAAGCACAUAAUUAUAGGGAGGAACAAGGAUCUCAUCCAUACCUAGGGUUUCCCCAAGAAAUUCUGCAAGAAGAGAUGGGAAAGAACAUCUCCUUGAUCCUCUCUUCCCCUUCAAUUCAACGUGCUCCUCCUCUUCUCGAUCCUUGCUGCGUGGGGGAGAUCUAGAGGGAGGAGGAAGCCGUGGAGAGGGGCUGCCAUGGGAGGAGAGGAUGGCCAGCCCAAGGGGAAAGGAGGGAGGGGCGGCCAAGUGUGGGAGGGGGG
rnacentral:lncRNA from 1 species